CAAAAAAGAAAAAGAAGAAAAAGAAAGGAAAGAAGAAGUAAACUGGCACUUAUUCGCUUUGAAAACUAGAAAAAGUUUAUCUUCCUCUUCUAAUUUCCAGUUUUUCUGGUGUGAUUUUUU
rnacentral:ribozyme from 1 species